rnacentral:rRNA from 1 species
AUUGAACGCUGGCGGCAUGCUUUACACAUGCAAGUCGAACGGUAACAGGCCUUCGGGUGCUGACGAGUGGCGAACGGGUGAGUAAUGCAUCGGAACGUACCCAGAGGUGGGGGAUAACGCAGCGAAAGCUGUGCUAAUACCGCAUGUGAUCUGAGGAUGAAAGCGGGGGACCGAGCAGCAAUGUUUGGCCUCGCGCCUUUGGAGCGGCCGAUGUCGGAUUAGCUAGUUGGUGGGGUAAAGGCCUACCAAGGCGACGAUCCGUAGCUGGUCUGAGAGGACGACCAGCCACACUGUGACUGAGACACGGCCCAGACUCCUACGGGAGGCAGCAGUGGGGAAUUUUGGACAAUGGGCGCAAGCCUGAUCCAGCAAUGCCGCGUGCGGGAAGAAGGCCUUCGGGUUGUAAACCGCUUUUGGCAGGAACGAAACGGUGUCCGCUAAUACCGGGCGCUAAUGACGGUACCUGCAGAAUAAGCACCGGCUAACUACGUG